rnacentral:rRNA from 1 species
GGGUUGUGAGGUUAAGCGACUAAGCGUACACGGUGGAUGCCCUGGCAGUCAGAGGCGAUGAAGGACGUGCUAAUCUGCGAUAAGCGUCGGUAAGGUGAUAUGAACCGUUAUAACCGGCGAUUUCCGAAUGGGGAAACCCAGUGUGAUUCGUCACACUAUCAUUACGUGAAUACAUAGCGUAAUGAAGCGAACCGGGGGAACUGAAACAUCUAAGUACCCCGAGGAAAAGAAAUCAACCGAGAUUCCCCCAGUAGCGGCGAGCGAACGGGGAGCAGCCCAGAGUCUGAAUCAGCUUGUGUGUUAGUGGAACGGUCUGGAAAGUCCGACGGUACAGGGUGAUAGUCCCGUACACCAAAAUGCACAGGUUGUGAACUCGAAGAGUAGGGCGGGACACGUGGUAUCCUGUCUGAAUAUGGGGGGACCAUCCUCCAAGGCUAAAUACUCCUGACUGACCGAUAGUGAACCAGUACCGUGAGGGAAAGGCGAAAAGAACCCCGGCGAGGGGAGUGAAAAGAACCUGAAACCGUGUACGUACAAGCAGUGGGAGCCUCUUUAUGGGGUGACUGCGUACCUUUUGUAUAAUGGGUCAGCGACUUAUAUUCUGUAGCAAGGUUAACCGUAUAGGGGAGCCGAAGGGAAACCGAGUCUUAACUGGGCGUUAAGUUGCAGGGUAUAGACCCGAAACCCGGUGAUCUAGCCAUGGGCAGGUUGAAGGUUGGGUAACACUAACUGGAGGACCGAACCGACUAAUGUUGAAAAAUUAGCGGAUGACUUGUGGCUGGGGGUGAAAGGCCAAUCAAACCGGGAGAUAGCUGGUUCUCCCCGAAAGCUAUUUAGGUAGCGCCUCGUGAACUCAUCUUCGGGGGUAGAGCACUGUUUCGGCUAGGGGGUCAUCCCGACUUACCAACCCGAUGCAAACUGCGAAUACCGAAGAAUGUUAUCACGGGAGACACACGGCGGGUGCUAACGUCCGUCGUGAAGAGGGAAACAACCCAGACCGCCAGCUAAGGUCCCAAAGUCAUGGUUAAGUGGGAAACGAUGUGGGAAGGCACAGACAGCCAGGAUGUUGGCUUAGAAGCAGCCAUCAUUUAAAGAAAGCGUAAUAGCUCACUGGUCGAGUCGGCCUGCGCGGAAGAUGUAACGGGGCUAAACCAUGCACCGAAGCUGCGGCAGCGACACUAUGUGUUGUUGGGUAGGGGAGCGUUCUGUAAGCCGUUGAAGGUGGCCUGUGAGGGUUGCUGGAGGUAUCAGAAGUGCGAAUGCUGACAUAAGUAACGAUAAUGCGGGUGAAAAACCCGCACGCCGGAAGACCAAGGGUUCCUGUCCAACGUUAAUCGGGGCAGGGUGAGUCGACCCCUAAGGCGAGGCCGAAAGGCGUAGUCGAUGGGAAACAGGUUAAUAUUCCUGUACUUGGUGUUACUGCGAAGGGGGGACGGAGAAGGCUAUGUUAACCGGGCGACGGUUGUCCCGGUUUAAGCAUGUAGGCGGAGGUUCCAGGUAAAUCCGGUACCUUUUUAACGCUGAGGUGUGAUGACGAGGCACUACGGUGCUGAAGUAACAAAUGCCCUGCUUCCAGGAAAAGCCUCUAAGCAUCAGGUAACACGAAAUCGUACCCCAAACCGACACAGGUGGUCAGGUAGAGAAUACCAAGGCGCUUGAGAGAACUCGGGUGAAGGAACUAGGCAAAAUGGUGCCGUAACUUCGGGAGAAGGCACGCUGAUAUGUAGGUGAAGUGAUUUACUCAUGGAGCUGAAAUCAGUCGAAGAUACCAGCUGGCUGCAACUGUUUAUUAAAAACACAGCACUGUGCAAACACGAAAGUGGACGUAUACGGUGUGACGCCUGCCCGGUGCCGGAAGGUUAAUUGAUGGGGUUAUCCGUAAGGAGAAGCUCUUGAUCGAAGCCCCGGUAAACGGCGGCCGUAACUAUAACGGUCCUAAGGUAGCGAAAUUCCUUGUCGGGUAAGUUCCGACCUGCACGAAUGGCGUAAUGAUGGCCAGGCUGUCUCCACCCGAGACUCAGUGAAAUUGAACUCGCUGUGAAGAUGCAGUGUACCCGCGGCAAGACGGAAAGACCCCGUGAACCUUUACUAUAGCUUGACACUGAACACUGGUCCUUGAUGUGUAGGAUAGGUGGGAGGCUUUGAAGUGUGGACGCCAGUCUGCAUGGAGCCAUCCUUGAAAUACCACCCUUUAAUGGCUGGUGUUCUAACGUGGACCCGUAAUCCGGGUUGCGGACAGUGUCUGGUGGGUAGUUUGACUGGGGCGGUCUCCUCCUAAAGAGUAACGGAGGAGCACGAAGGUUAGCUAAUCCUGGUCGGACAUCAGGAGGUUAGUGCAAAGGCAUAAGCUAGCUUGACUGCGAGAGUGACGGCUCGAGCAGGUGCGAAAGCAGGUCUUAGUGAUCCGGUGGUUCUGAAUGGAAGGGCCAUCGCUCAACGGAUAAAAGGUACUCCGGGGAUAACAGGCUGAUACCGCCCAAGAGUUCAUAUCGACGGCGGUGUUUGGCACCUCGAUGUCGGCUCAUCACAUCCUGGGGCUGAAGUAGGUCCCAAGGGUAUGGCUGUUCGCCAUUUAAAGUGGUACGCGAGCUGGGUUUAGAACGUCGUGAGACAGUUCGGUCCCUAUCUGCCGUGGGCGCUGGAGAAUUGAGGGGGGCUGCUCCUAGUACGAGAGGACCGGAGUGGACGCAUCACUGGUGUUCGGGUUGUCAUGCCAAUGGCAUUGCCCGGUAGCUAAAUGCGGAAGAGAUAAGUGCUGAAAGCAUCUAAGCACGAAACUUGCCCCGAGAUGAGUUCUCCCUGAGACUAUAAGUCUCCUGAAGGAACGUUGAAGACGACGACGUUGAUAGGUCGGGUGUGUAAGUGUAGCGAUACAUUGAGCUAACCGAUACUAAUGAACCGUGAGGCUUAACCUUACAACGCCGAAG